AUCCUUCUGGCUCUAAACACCUAGCGACAGUGUGAGGUGGGGAGUUUGACUGGGGCAGUAGACCUGUCAAAUUGUAAUGAGGUGUCCUAAGGCGAGCUCAGGGAAGACAGAAAACUCCUGUGGAGCAGAAGGGCAAAAGCUUUUUUGAUCUUGAUAUUCACGGAGUACAGACCGUGAAAGCGGGGCCUCAUGAUCCCUCUAAUUUUAUGGAUUUAAAGCAGGACGUGUCAGAAAAGCUACCACAGGGAUAAUUGGCUUGUGGUGGCCAAGAAUUUGUAGCGAUGUCACUGUUUGAUCCUUUGCAGUCGGCUCUUCCUGUUGGUGUGAAGCAGAAUUCACCAAGCAUUGGAUUGUUCACCCGCUAAUAGGGAACAUGAGCUGGCUUUAGAUUGUCAUGAGACAGGGUAGAU
rfam:Alligator sinensis unplaced genomic scaffold scaffold147_1, whole genome shotgun sequence